UAUUCUGUUCGCUGUCCGUCAUUAAAUCAUUGAUCAAUAUUUUGCCACGAAGUACAAUCGAUGGAGAAUACCACGGAAUAUUAAAGUGUUUUUUAAGACAGCUUCUGAAUAUAAUGUUGUGAGCUUGUGCUCUGAUGAUGUUAACGUGUGAGACAUCGCACCGGUCCCAUACAAUGUAAUCGUGGAAUUAUUUGGUAUCGGAGAGGAAUCAGCGGUGGCAUCGAAUUGGGAGACGACGACGAGCCGUAAAUCGGAAUCAAAGCCAGAUAUCGAUUACUAUCGAACGAGACGCGCUCCCGCUGGGGACGAGACGACCUUUACAACAUACGAGACGAUCACGACUCCUCUCUACAUACAUUAUACGAUACGAAACAGAAGAGUGGCCGAGCGCCGUGUGAAUCUUAAAUAAUUCAAUUUGGAAUUAUGUCUCGUGUAAAAACUAUAAAAGUUUUAUUGAUAUGAGAGGCCUUUAAAGUUGGAUGUACGUCAUUUAACAAGAAUAAAAUAUUAGAGAUAUACACACGAUGUGCAGGCUACAGCUGGGAG